CCUACGGGAGGCAGCAGUGAGGAAUAUUGGUCAAUGGCCGUAAGGCUGAACCAGCCAAGUAGCGUGAGGGAAGACUGCCCUAUGGGUUGUAAACCUCUUUUAUGCGGGGGUAAAGGUGUCCACGCGUGGAUGUUUGCAGGUACCGCAUGAAUAAGGACCGGCUAAUUCCGUGCCAGCAGCCGCGGUAAUACGGAAGGUCCGGGCGUUAUCCGGAUUUAUUGGGUUUAAAGGGAGCGUAGGCCGGUCUUUAAGCGUGCCGGGAAAUUUUGUGGCUCAACCAUGAGAGUGCGGCGCGAACUGGAGACCUUGAGUGCGCGGAAGGCAGGCGGAAUUCGUGGUGUAGCGGUGAAAUGCUUAGAUAUCACGAAGAACCCCGAUGGCGAAGGCAGCCUGCCGCAGCGUUACUGACGCUGAAGCUCGAAAGCGCGGGUAUCGAACAGGAUUAGAUACCCUAGUAGUC
rnacentral:rRNA from 1 species